UAACCAUCAAGCCUGGCUUGUUGUUGGACUUUUACUGCUGAAAUAUGUGGUCGGUCCGAAAAAUAAGGACGGUGUCGUGUUUUGGCCCUAAAUGCAACGAGCUCUAUAGCACGCAUUGAAGUGGUCAACCGGCCUGGUCUUAACCAUCAUUUUCUAA
rnacentral:misc_RNA from 1 species